UACGUAGGGUGCAAGCGUUGUCCGGAUUUAUUGGGCGUAAAGAGCGUGUAGGCGGCUUUACAGGUCCGUUGUGAAAACUCGAGGCUCAACCUCGAGACGCCGGUGGAAACCGUAAAGCUAGAGUCCGGAAGAGGAGAGUGGAAUUCCUGGUGUAGCGGUGGAAUGCGCAGAUAUCAGGAGGAACACCAAUAGCGAAGGCAGCUCGCUGGGACGGUAUUGACGCUAAGGCGCGAAAGCGUGGGGAGCAAACAGG
rnacentral:rRNA from 1 species